rnacentral:rRNA from 1 species
UACGUAGGGUGCAAGCGUUGUCCGGAAUUAUUGGGCGUAAAGAGCUCGUAGGCGGUUUGUCGCGUCCGCUGUGAAAACUCGGGGCUCAACUCCGAGCUUGCAGUGGGUACGGGCAGACUAGAGUGCGGUAGGGGAGACUGGAAUUCCUGGUGUAGCGGUGGAAUGCGCAGAUAUCAGGAGGAACACCGGUGGCGAAGGCGGUUCUCUGGGCAUUACCUGACGCUGAGGAGCGAAAGUGUGGGGAGCGAACAGG